rnacentral:lncRNA from 1 species
UGUGGAUACACUAGACAAAGGGAUGAUUUAUAUCCUGGGCAGAAUGGAGUAGGACAGUGAAAGAUUUCGCCAACAUAUUCAGAAUAGCAUGCAAUUUAAAACUUGUAAGUUUUUUAUUUUUGGAAUUUUCCAUUUAAUAUUUUUGGACCAUGGUUGAUCGAAGAUUUUGAAGUUGGAAGAAGUGGCAAAAUGUGAAAAGCAAGAAGCAAGUAUUACCAGAGACACCUAUGAAAAAGAAAUCUUUCUGAAGAACAUUUUUAAAGUGCCAUAAUCUGUUCGGUGAAUCCAAAGGCUGAAAGAGACUGAGUAACAGCUAUUAAGUAAGGUGAAAAUGUUAUUUUACAUGGAAACCUAUUUUGUUCCAUAAAACUAAAUAAACCAUAACCCAGAAGUGCAAUGAGACACACACAGCAUGACCACAUUAUUUCUGAAAGCUGAAGAGUUGCCAGUCUGUUGAUCUCAAACUUCAUGAACCACACAGUUCAGUUCAAAUUGUUUCCCUGAAAUUGCUUUGAGCCUCUGCCAAACAGCCACUGAAGGACUCCGAAAAAUACAAGAACUGAAAGGGGCACAUGGCAGAUACAAUCAUAAACUUUCAUUUCGGAGAGCAGUAAAAAAGGAGAAGAAGAACACACUGGUACUCCAACAAGUCAUAGUUUCUGCCAGAUGUUGCAAAAGUGAGUUAGAUAACUGACCUUUCUUCUGGGGCCUGUGUCAACUUUGAAUGGAGCUUUCAAUUGUACAAUAAGCAUCUGGACAGUUUUGACAUCUUUAUAACACUCUUUGAGUUCUUAAAAAGCUACCAUUUUGUUUAAAGAUGAUUUAUGUGAAGAUUAAAACAAUUACUUAAGUGCUAAGAAUAAUUAAUCCUGUAACUCCAUAUCAAUACCAUUAUCUUCCCAGAACUGGGUCUCUAACUACUAAUCAUAAUCAAGACACCAACUGUCAAAUCAAAUCAAAAUUAAAAUUUGAUUAAUUAUUUGAUGA